rnacentral:snRNA from 1 species
UGACAUUGUGAUAAGACUGGAAAGAUAGAGAGGAAAUUGGCAUCAUGCCUGUGCAAGGAUGUCAUGGAAACACAUAAAUCACUCCAAAUUUCU